rnacentral:rRNA from 1 species
ACGAACGCUGGCGGCUGCUUAACACAUGCAAGUCGAACGGAGUGGCGAACGGGUGAGUAAAGCGUGAGCAACCUGCCUAUGACAGUGGGAUAGCCUCGGGAAACCGGGAUUAAUACCGCAUAGUAAUAGAUGGGCUCGCGUCUGAUUAGCUAGUUGGUGAGAUAACAGCCCACCAAGGCGACGAUCAGUAGCCGGUCUGAGAGGAUGAACGGCCACAUGGGAACUGAGACACGGUCCAAACUCCUACGGGAGGCAGCAGUCGGGAAUAUUGCACAAUGGCGGAAACCCUGAUGGAGCGACGCCGCGUGAACGAAGAAGGUAUUCGUAUCGUAAAGUUCUGUCCUAUGGGAAGCAGUACCAUAGAAGAAAGCUCCGGCUAAAUACGUGCCAGCAGCCGCGGUAAUUC